rnacentral:lncRNA from 1 species
GCGAAAAAAAGCUGAGCCACCGGAUCCGUCUCAUUAAAUGACGUGGCGUGUUACACGGCCUGGAUAUGAGGGUGCAUGAUGUACUCAAGUCAGCAGCAAAACACAAUGAAUUAAAAAAGUAAUUAGAAUGGAUGCACGAGAUUAGAUCGUGAGGGAGAGAUCCAAUGGCUGUGAUCAGUACACAUGGUGAUGGUGGUGGAAACCACCACCUUCUCCGAUCAACCAAGCAGAAUCCGGCCAGAAAUUGAAGGAAAA